rnacentral:rRNA from 1 species
UACGGAGGAUGCAGGCGUUAUCCGGAUUUAUUAGGUUUAAAGGGUGCGUAGGCGGCCAAGUAAGUCAGUGGUGAAAGUUUGCAGCUCAACUGUAAAAUUGCCAUUGAUACUGUUUGGCUUGGAUUUAGUAGAAGUUGGCGGAAUGUGCAGUGUAGCGGUGAAAUGCUUAGAUAUUGCACAGAACACCGAUUGCGAAGGCAGCUGACUAUGCUAACAUCGACGCUGAGGCACGAAAGCGUGGGGAUCGAACAGG